rnacentral:rRNA from 1 species
UACGUAGGGGGCAAGCGUUGUCCGGAUUUAUUGGGCGUAAAGAGCGUGUAGGCGGCCAUACAGGUCAGCUGUGAAAACUCGAGGCUCAACCUCGAGACGUCGGUUGAAACCGUAUGGCUAGAGUCCGGAAGAGGAGAGUGGAAUUCCCGGUGUAGCGGUGAAAUGCGCAGAUAUCGGGAAGAACACCCGUGGCGAAGGCGGCUCUCUGGGCCUGUUCUGACGCUGAGGAGCGAAAGCGUGGGGAGCGAACAGG